rnacentral:rRNA from 1 species
GAUGAACGCUAGCGGGAGGCCUAACACAUGCAAGCCGAGCGGUAUUUGUUCUUCGGAACAGAGAGAGCGGCGCACGGGUGCGGAACACGUGUGCAACCUGCCUUUAUCUGGGGGAUAGCCUUUCGAAAGGAAGAUUAAUACCCCAUAAUAUAUUGAGUGGCAUCAUUUGAUAUUGAAAACUCCGGUGGAUAGAGAUGGGCACGCGCAAGAUUAGAUAGUUGGUGAGGUAACGGCUCACCAAGUCAAUGAUCUUUAGGGGGCCUGAGAGGGUGAUCCCCCAGACUGGUACUGAGACACGGACCAGACACCUACGGGAGGCAGCAGUGAGGAAUAUUGGACAAUGGGUUAGCGCCUGAUCCAGCCAUCCCGCGUGAAGGACGACGGCCCUAUGGGUGGUAAACUUCUUUUGUAUAGGGAUAAACCUACUCGCGUGAGAGUAGCUGAAGGUACUAUACGAAUAAGCACCGGCUAACUCCGUG